rnacentral:rRNA from 1 species
GACGAACGCUGGCGGCGUGCUUAACACAUGCAAGUCGAACGGUAAGGCCCUUCGGGGUACACGAGUGGCGAACGGGUGAGUAACACGUGGGUGAUCUGCCCUGCACUUCGGGAUAAGCCUGGGAAACUGGGUCUAAUACCGGAUAGGACCACUGCCUGCAUGGGUGGUGGUGGAAAGCUUUUGCGGUGUGGGAUGGGCCCGCGGCCUAUCAGCUUGUUGGUGGGGUGAUGGCCUACCAAGGCGACGACGGGUAGCCGGCCUGAGAGGGUGACCGGCCACACUGGGACUGAGAUAUGGCCCAGACUCCUACGGGAGGCAGCAGUGGGGAAUAUUGCACAAUGGGCGCAAGCCUGAUGCAGCGACGCCGCGUGAGGGAUGACGGCCUUCGGGUUGUAAACCUCUUUCAGCACCGACGAAACGCAAGUGACGGUAGGUGCAGAAGAAGGACCGGCCAACUACGUGCCAGCCGCCGCAGUAA